CAUUGAUGACAUCCUACAACUGUCAUCCGCCCGGGUACUACGAGCAUCAGCUUAAAACCCAAAGGACUUGGCGGUGCUUUAGACCCACCUAGAGGAGCCUGUUCUAGAACCGAUAACCCCCGUUCAACCUCACCCUUCCUUGUUUUCCCCGCCUAUAUACCACCGUCGUCAGCUUACCCUGUGAAGGUUAAAACAGUAAGCAAAAUUGGCAUAGCCCAAAACGUCAGGUCGAGGUGUAGCGUAUGGAAGGGGAAGAAAUGGGCUACAUUCCCUAAUUCAGCGCAUACGGACGACACACUGAAAUACGUAUCCGAAGGAGGAUUUAGCAGUAAGCAGAAAAUAGAGUGUUCCGCUGAAACCGGCCCUGAAGCGCGC
rnacentral:rRNA from 2 species